rnacentral:rRNA from 1 species
UACGUAGGGUCCGAGCGUUGUCCGGAAUUACUGGGCGUAAAGAGCUCGUAGGUGGUUUGUCGCGUUGUUCGUGAAAACUCACAGCUCAACUGUGGGCGUGCCGGGCGAUAACGGGGCAGACUAGAGGUAACUGCAGGGGAGACUGGAAGUUCCUGGUGUAGCGGUGGAAUGCGCAGAUAUCAGGAGGAACACCGGUGGCGAAGGCGGGUCUCUGGGCAGUAAC